GCAUUAUUUCCUCAGGAGGAAGAAAAAAACUCUUGGAAAUUAAAAAGAAGACAAGACAAUUUCAAAUGGUUAUUUCUCCCACCCUAAUCUCAUCUCUACCUCAAUCUGGAGUCACUCUAUAACUUUGGGAAAUUACCAGUGAAGUUACAUGAUAAAAUUUGAAACUACUAAAUAGUAUUUCUUUACAUUUCUAUUGUGCAUGGAAUCUAGUCUCUAACAGUUACUAAAACAUCUCCAUAAGCCAACUGCUUUAAGAAAGACCUCUAUAACAAUCAGAACAACAUGGUGCCAUUUGAAUAUUAUGAUCAACACUUUGUACCAUUAAACCACUCUUACCACCUGGCCACAACCAAUUCAAUAACACAUCAACCCAGUAAACAACCUGUGGCCAAAGUACAGUCCUAUAGCAAUAACCUCGAAGUACAUCCAUUAAGCUGUAUCAGACAGUCCAGAGCUAUUCAAUAUUACCUUCUCCUAAGUCUCAAGUAAAAAUUUCACAGGACCUCAAUAAUAACGAUACAAAUUUACAAAUAUCCCACUCCAAAUGCCCAGUUACUCCUUCAAUGGAUCACAGGAGAAGUUCAUCGUCAUAUCCCAUUUGGAAAGACUUGAACUCAUAUAUAUCACACCCUAAACCUCAGACAACAUUUUCAUCUGACCUUAACAAGACAUCAUCAUCAUCAUUGAAACCAAAUGAAACAUCCUUAAGAUCACAGUUACCCCUCCCCAAAACUCAGACUACAUCUUCAAGCCUAGACCUUCACUAGACAUCACCUUUACUAAAGUCUAACCAAGAAAUUUCAAGUUCAUCAUUGUCUUAUCUCCAACAUCAAGAAACACCUCUGCUAAAUAUCAUGUGGGCUUCUUCUUUGAGACCCAAACAGAAAGCUAAUAAAUCAACAUUACUUCAAUCCAAAUUUCAGAAAACAUCUUCAUUGGAUUGUCUUUGGACAUCUAUAUUGGUACACAAUGAAAGAUAUUUGAGCUCACCAUCACUCAGUACUAAACCUCAAACAAGCAACUUUCUUCAGACAUCACAUUCCUUGGAGUUCAGCCAGAUGGCUCUAAGUUCACCACUGCAGGAUUUCAGACCUCAAAAAAAGACUAUAUUGACCUAUAAUCCCAGUGUUCUGAGUUUACCAUCAUCCCACAAGAAAUUACAGAAAUCACCUUUAUUGCACUCUGUCCACAGGUCUGAGAGUUUAUCAGUGUUCCACCCAAAAUCUCAGACAUUACUUACACUUGAUCAUAACUUCCAGACCCUCAGCUCACCCAUCUGUCACUCCAAGUUUCAGAAUACCACUUCACAGAAUGACAAACACACAGCCACAGAACUACCACCAUCCCACCCCGAAUCAAAUGCCCCAUGCCAGUCAUUGUCAAGCACCAAACACUGCAUCAAGAGUACAGCUGCUUCAACAUGGGGGUCUGGACUCCAGAAUAAAAGCAGCUUUGAUUUUAGUGCAAGGACAGAAUCAGGUAAAGAAAUUCCAUGGACUCUAGAUUAUAGUCAUCCCUGCAUUGUUAAAGGUGGAACUGUACCUGAUCAUGUUGUAAACAAAAUCGUCAAUUCUCUCUCCAAGACCAGAAUCCAAAGGGAUCUCUCUAGACAGAUUCUCUUUCGAAGGAUGAGGGGAAAGCCAAAUCCUCGUCCUGGUCCUCGCCUUUUAUCAACUUACACAGUUUGUUUAUCUUGUACUUCUUUCAUAAAAUCUCCAUGUAACCACCUCAUAGGAAAGAAAGAUCCUCGCUGUGGAACACUAUUUGUCAUACCAACACCCGAGGCCAAUUUUGAGGGGAAAAUCAAGGUGAAAUUACUUCUUAUCCUUUCUCUACCAGAGACUUCUUUCUCACCCUUUCUCCCAAUCCUACCUAUGAAAGGAAACCAGCCUGAAGAUCCCCUUAAUGACAACCUUGAAGAAAUGGAGAAGAUAUCACAGUUUUUCCCUACUUCUGAAUCUGAUAUCAUUCAAGGGCUUGGAGUGAAAAAAAGAUGGUUGGCAGCAUCCCCUGAAAACAAAGUUAAGUUUUGCUGUCCUUAUUAUGCUGACUGGACAAGUAAUGGGGUAGGCAACCUGAUGGAAGGACACUAAUCUGCCACGUCCUGAGUCCACAACCUACCAAUAUUAACAUAGCAUUGGGAUAAGUCCAAGGUCCACACAGCUAUGGGACGCCUCCUGCAGAGAUGGAUUUAUGACUCAAGACCACUGCAACCAGCCACAG
ensembl:lincRNA